rnacentral:rRNA from 1 species
UGGAAGUAAAAGUCGUAACAAGGUUUCCGUAGGUGAACCUGCGGAAGGAUCAUUAGUGAUUGCCUUUAUAAGGCUUUAAACUAUAUCCACAUACACCUGUGAACUGUUCUACUACUUGACGCAAGUCGAGUAUUUUUACAAACAAUGUGUAAUGAACGUCGUUUUAUUAUAACAAAAUAAAACUUUCAACAACGGAUCUCUUGGCUCUCGCAUCGAUGAAGAACGCAGCGAAUUGCGAUAAGUAAUGUGAAUUGCAGAAUUCAGUGAAUCAUCGAAUCUUUGAACGCACCUUGCGCUCUCUGGUAUUCCGGAGAGCAUGCCUGUUUCAGUGUCAUGAAAUCUCAACCACUAGGGUUUCCUAAUGGAUUGGAUUUGGGCGUCUGCGAUCUCUGUAUCGCUCGCCUUAAAAGAGUUAGCAAGUUUGACAUUAAUGUCUGGUGUAAUAAGUUUCACUGGGUCCAUUGUGUUGAAGCGUGCUUCUAAUCGUCCGCAAGGACAAUUACUUUGACUCUGGCCUGAAAUCAGGUAGGACUACCCGCUGAACUUAAGCAUAUCAAUAAGCGGAGGAA